rnacentral:lncRNA from 1 species
CUUGUGCCACGGUGGCCCAAAUGUCAGUCAACCAGACAUGUCUUCUGAGAGGUAAGUUUUUGAAAAAUACUAGACUUUUCUCAAAUGUAUUUCUUUACAGGAAUAAAAAGAAAGCUAAUUUUGCAUGAGCAUGCAGGAAGUCUGCAGACAGACAUUCUACAUAGUCCCUUGGGGACUCAGUAGAAGUGGAAUCAAGACCAACCCAAGCCCAACAAGGCAGCUCCGCUGGUUAAUGCCUCCCAGAUCUGUCAUCUGUGAUAAAGAGCCUCGCUGUAGCUGAGGAGCUGGCCAAGAACCUUUCCCAGUUAGCCAAGUUCGUGAAGAAGUCACAUGUGGUGAAUAUAUUAUCAUCAGAAUGCGGAGCAAUGAAAUGUAAACAGAUAGGAAUCGUCACUAAAGCUCCAACUGCAGCCUCCGGGUGCCAUAGCUUUUGCACCAUCCAUUUGCACCAUCUCUGCAUUGCUCUCAAUCACUGCCACGAGUCUGGUGAUGCGCUAAGCUCGGGGCAGGAUCUCAAGGGCUUUGAGGAUGUCUGCAUCAUCUGUAUUGACCUGCUCCCCAGAUUAAUACCGAAGCACUGCAAUUUCUUGAGGAUUAUCCACCUAGGAGGAAAUGAUACGCUGGCCCAUCCAUAGUAGUCAAGGUUUCUUGGAAGAGAAGAAUGAGAUUGGAUCUGAGAAAAUGUGGCUGGUAAUGAACUCUACGAAGGGAUUUUUAUACUCUCUCUUUGGCAGUCCAUCCUGUGAAAUAAUAAUGAGGUUGGAGGAUGGCUGCUAACCAUCCCUUGCUUUUCCGUGCCAGGGAACCACCAUCUCAGAUGGUAGAAACCACUCAGAAGGAUCAACUGCUGCAGACGGGAAGAGGAGCAACCUCGUGAAUAAUUUCGUGACAGGAUAUUGCAGGAGGGACUUUGUCCAAAUGUGUGCAGGGUAGUUGGCUACAGCAACAAGGAUGACGAACACAGAUGAAUUGAUCAGGAUGUAACCAUUCAAAGUUGAGAGGAUUAGAGGACUUCUCCGAGGCGGCUCCAAUGGAUGCCAGCAGAGUUAAAGUGUCCAAUGGAGAGAAGAGAAGGCUUGGGAAAUCCAGAGUCCAUUCAUUCAUCGCCCUCCUCCUAGAACAACAAAAGCGAGCCCCAGUACUCAUCAGCAUGGACUCUGUGUGUAGUCAUCUCCCUUAGUUUCAGAGGUUCCUGCCUACAGCAAAACUUUAGAGGCUUAGAGUUUAACGGUCAUAGCUUAUUCACCUCCAACUGUGUCCUAGUUCAAGAGAAACACUUCACAUAUCUGUAGGGAGAAGAUAAUGAACCAAGGAUACAAGUUAAGCCUUAGCUAAGACCUGUUACUCAGGAAAAAGAGCUAAAACAAGCUGCUUAGAUCAGCACCAAUGUUAGGUAGAGAGAAAAAGAAACGCUGCAUAGAAAUCUUAAGGUUCACAUGUGCUCCAGGCUGGGUCAACAACUUCUAAUUUCCUUUGCCAACCAACCAUGUCUUUGACAGAAAUGAUCCUUCUACAUAGACCACAGAGGGAUCCAAUGGAGGUUUCUCUUCCUGAAUUUGGGGAUUCAGAAUCUGGACAAAUUCCUUUCCAUCAAAGUCCAGUACAAAAGUAGUACCAUGGCAGUCCCUGCAGGGACUUGCAUCACUUUCCCUAGAGAUAUCAAGAGAAUUUUUAGUGAUAAGAAUAUGGCACAAAAUGAGAAAUCCCAUUACUCUUAAGAGAAUCUCUUCCUUCUCAAAGGCACCUGAUUAAUACAUAUAGUACUAUCAGUAAGGCUGAGCAAAAGGAUACUGAUGUUCUGAGUGAUCUUAAAUCAUGUAAUAAUAACUUUAUUCGUAGUAUAGAACGGAAUAUUCCCUAUUAGUAAUCAGUUCCUUUGCCAGAUCCUCAUAGUAUCUUAGUCACUGUUUUAUUGUUAUGAAGAGAAACUUUGACCACAGCACCUCUUAGAAAAAAGGAAGCAUUUAAUCGGGACUUCCUUAUGGUUUCACAGUUUUACAUAAUUGUCAACAUGGCAGAGAACAUGGGGGCACGCAAACAGACAUGGUGCUGGAGAAGUAGCGGAGAAUAUACAGCAACAUAUAGAUACAAAAUAUAGAUACAUAUAGAUACAGAAUAUAGAUACAUAUAGCUACAUAUAGAUCUGCAGGCAGCAGGAAGAGACUGGGACAAGGCCAUACCUUCUAAGGCUUCUCAAGGAGUGUCACUUCCUGAUGACCAAGCAUUCAAGUGUAUGAGCUUAUGGGAGCCAUUCUUAUUCAAGCCACCACACAUAGCAAAGCUGAUAAUGUCAUUUUCUGAAUUAACCAGGCCAAGGCACACUUCUUAGCAACAUGGUUACCUGGUAACCAGAGAUUUUUCUCAUCCCAUGAGAGAUUUCAUUCAAGAACUGAUCUUCUAACAGUUUUGUCUCUCUUAAGAAUGCUACAGACAGGGUGGGGUGAGGCACAGUGCUGAAGCCCCUCAAGUUUCCCAGAGGGAUGAGUCCAUGAAAGACGAAAAUCAUGUGGUCACACUGAGCAUAGACUUCACAAGCAUCAUGCUAGGAUUCCAUUUUCUUUCUCAACACAAUGAUAAAUUCUUCUUCCAAUAAGCAGAAAAUCAUCCAAUGGGAAAAAAAAAUAAAACCAACUAACUUGCAGUCCUUUGGAACAGUUUCAUAGCUUACAGGAUGGCUUCAUAACCCUGGGGACACUCGUUUUGACAUGAAAACUUCCUUCAGAACAGGAAUUCUGAUCCAACAUGUGCUCAGACAUCAUUUCAGUCACUUGCAAAUGAACAAGAAAGCUCAUGUAAAUGAGGAGGCUCAACUCCCAGGCCUGGUGAGUGGGUAAGACAUUCCUCUGCUGGGUUUUGAAGGCUGUCUGAAACCAUCGGCUGACAUCCUUCUCUGUGUGCAUGUAUGCACUAUCUACGGGAAAUUCAGCUCCAACCGGUUGUCUCUACAGCUCCCUUAAUCUUCUCCUCCCUCCUCCUGGCAUUGGCAUGUGUCCCAGGACUGCAGCGAGGAGUGCUUACCAACAAAGGUGCUGGCAUCUGCAUUUGUUUCACAGCCACAAACCUAAUGGUUCCAUGAUUUUGGCGAGCAAAACUGUCAAAAUGCCUGAGCACAAGAGAUCACAAGAUGAGCCAAGGCAUAGUGUGCAUGCCUUCCUUCCCAGCACUCGGAAGGCAGAGGCAAGGGGAUCUCUGUGGGUUCAAGGCCAGCCUGAAUCACAAGGUGUACUGGGGAUUCUUUUUUAUUGUUUUCCUUUUGCUAUCUGGAAUAGUUUGAGAUUGUAUUUGAUCAGUGCAUUAAACAAC